UGAACGCUAGCGGCAGGCUUAAUACAUGCAAGUCGUGGGGCAGCAUGAGUAGCAAUACUUGAUGGCGACCGGCAAACGGGUGAGGAACACGUACACAACCUUCCUUCAAGCGGGGAAUAGCCCAGAGAAAUUUGGAUUAAUACCCCAUAAUAUAUUUGAUAAGGCAUCUUAUUAAUAUUUAAAGCUUCGGCACUUGAUGAUGGGUGUGCGGCUGAUUAGAUAGUUGGCGGGGUAACGGCCCACCAAGUCUACGAUCAGUAGCUGAUGUGAGAGCAUGAUCAGCCACACGGGCACUGAGACACGGGCCCGACUCCUACGGGAGGCAGCAGUAAGGAAUAUUGGACAAUGGACGAAAGUCUGAUCCAGCCAUGCCGCGUGAAGGAUUAAGGUCCUCUGGAUUGUAAACUUCUUUUAUAUGGGACGAAAAAGGGCAUUCUUGUUCACUUGACGGUACCAUAUGAAUAAGCACCGGCUAACUCCGUG
rnacentral:rRNA from 1 species